rnacentral:rRNA from 1 species
GUCUAUGGCCAUACCACGCUGAAUGUGCCCAAUCUCAUCUGAUCUCAGAAGUUAAGCAGAGUUGGGCCUGGUUAGUACUUUGAUGGGAGAAAAGGGGUAAGAGGACCUGAUAUAUU